rnacentral:rRNA from 1 species
GAUGAACGCUGGCGGCGUGCCUAAUACAUGCAAGUCGAGCGAAUGGAUUAAGAGCUUGCUCUUAUGAAGUCAGCGGCGGACGGGUGAGUAACACGUGGGUAACCUGCCCAUAAGACUGGGAUAACUCCGGGAAACCGGGGCUAAUACCGGAUAAUAUUUUGAACUGCAUGGUUCAAAAUUGAAAGGCGGCUUCGGCUGUCACUUAUGGAUGGACCCGCGUCGCGUUAGCUAGUUGGUGAGGUAACGGCUCACCAAGGCAACGAUGCGUAGCCGACCUGAGAGGGUGAGCGGCCACACUGGGACUGAGACACGGCCCAGACUCCUACGGGAGGCAGAAGUAGGGAAUCGUCCGCAAUGGACGAAAGUCUGACGGAGCAACGCCGCGUGAGUGAUGAAGGCUUUCGGGUCGUAAAACUCUGUUGUUAGGGAAGAACAAGUGCUAGUUGAAUAAGCUGGCACCUUGACGGUACCUAACCAGAAAGCCACGGCUAACUACGUGCCAGCAGCCGCAGUAA